CCUCAGAUCUCCAGAUUUCCGCAUUAUUCCGCAUUUUUUCCUCAUUUUAAUAUGGAAAAAAUGUGGAAAAAAAUACGGAGAAAAUUAACAAUACGGAAAAGCAGAAAAUAUACGGAAAUAAUCCGUAAAAUAAACGGAAAUAAUACGGAGAAUUGGACUUAGUCUAUUUUUCAUCUGGAAAAAUAUUGAACUCUUAACUUAGAAUAUUUUUCAUCUGGAAAAAAUACGGAGCUCUGGACUUAGAAUUUUUUCAUCAAGAACAAGAUGUGUUUGUGAGACACAGUAGCACCUGGCGGCAACAUUAAGUUCUAAAAAGCAAUUUUUAGCAAAUGGGUCUCAGUCAAGGUCACACAAUCAUUGUUCUUGGUGUCAUUUGAAAGCACUUUAUUAGUGUAGUAUGCAUACCAAAUAUUAAGUCUCUAUCAUCUAUGGUUCAAAAGUUAUGGCGAAAAUUCGAAAAAAGCUAUAUUUAGCACAUAGGUCACAGUCAAGGUCACAAGGUCAUUGAUCUUGGUGUCAGUUGAAGGUGCCUAAUUAGUGGAGUAUGCAUACCAAAUAUGAAGUCUCUAUCUCUCACGGUUUUAAAGUUAUGGCGAAAGUUCGAAAAAGCUAUUUUUAGCAUAUAGGUCACAGUCAAGGUCACAGACCUUGGUGUCAGUUGAAAGUGCCUAAUUAGUGGAGUAUGCAUACCAAAUAUGAAGUCUCUAUCUCUCACGGUUCAGAAGUUAUGGCGAAAGUUCGAAAAAGCUAUUUUUAGCAUAAAGGUCACAAUCAAGGUCAUAAGGUCAUUGACCUUGGUGUCAGUUGAAAGUGUUUUUGUAGUGGAGUAUCCAUACCAAAUAUGAAGUCUCUAAGUCUCAUGGUUCAAAAGUUAUGGCGAAGGUUAAAGUUGACAACAGACAAACAAACAGACAGACAUACAGCUAAACAGACAGACAGGACAAAAACAAUAUGCGCCCCAAAAAAAUUUGGGUGCAUAAAAACUGUCUUGGAGUUAACAGCAGUUCUCUGUUUCUCCUGAAUGUUAUGUACAAUUUGAUCGGGAUCGGAAGAAUGUUUCAAAAAGUCGGGCUCAGUGAUCAAUUAAUUUAAACAACAGACCGCCAAAAUUUAACCUUGGCCUCCAUGUUGCAACGUCUGCUCUGUCUAAAGGAAGAAGUUUGUUGACCAGACAGCCUGAGAUCGUAUUGCUGUAUCAACCAAAAGAUGCAGAUACACGUAUUUCAUAUGCGCGUCUGUGCAUGAGGAGGAGAUUUCUGAAAAAGAAUAAGUGCUUAUUCAACUUACUGCGAUUUUAACGGGCUUAAAGCUUGGUCCAUGGAUGGUUAUGUUUGAGGAUUUGACAAUUCGACCGCAAGUGCUGCUGCAAGAAAUUAAACAUGCAGAGACCUUACAAAUUACAAAGAAGUCUGAAGAAAAUUUUUAUUGGACAGAUGGGUGUAAAGCACAGACCUGAGAUAUAAAUUGAAUUGUGAGAAAUAUGAAUCAGGGAUGCAGGUAGAAAAUGGCAAAUGUGAUCCAGAUUGAUAAAAAAUGUCUAAAGUUUUUUCUUGUUUUGUAAAUAUUCAAUGCUAUGUCAAUUGUUAUUUUUUCCCCAAUACCUAAUAGUGUUGAACAUUUCACUCCCACUUUUGCUUAAAUAGAAUGAAUAAAUUUCCAUUUAUUUAAUAUGAAUAUUAAAAAAUGCCACAUUUUUUCCAUGAUGAACUUGUGGCUUAAAUAAGAGUUCCAGUUUUUUUUCCAUACAUGCUCCUAUUUGUUUGUCAAAGAUAUAAGAUCCAAUACAUUGCUCAUGAACAUAAUGUGUAAUUUUGUUCAUUCAUUUAUAUGUUUUUUUC